AUAGUAAUUUUCAUUCUCAGCACCGACAUUACAAACCCUAGAAGAUUCAUCCUCCACCGCCAUCGCCUCGACCACCUCGACUUCUCCGACAUCGCAGAGAUCUUCUACCUAAUAGAUCCAUCAAUUUUCCCUUUUAUGCAUUUCGAAAGUGAAUUUAUUCAGUCGUUGACAACCGAUGAAGGAGCAUCGCCAAAUGUUCAUCAUCGGCGAAGAUCGAAAUGCGAUUUCAGAUGGUCGACGUUCAGCGAAAUUCAGAAAGUGACAAAUUCGGUAACGGCAUGAUUUUAGGAAGAGGCUCUGAGAGUGACAAAUUCGGUAUCGGCAUGGUUUUAGGGAAUAAGCUGAUAAAGAGGACAUUACAUGAAACAAAUGGGAGUUCAGAAAGAUGUUUAUAAGUGAGGGAAAGGAUUACUUCAGAAAUUAAGCAUUGGAAAUAAGUUGUUCAGAGGGAAGGUCAAACAAAGAAAGAUUGAACUUACACAUUGGCAUCAUAAAGACAUAAAAAAGAUUCAAAUCCAGAAGUGACCGAAAGCAAAUGACCGAAAGGAUUGCUAAAGAUUAGAUACAGAUAGAUUUCAGAGUAGUAAAAGUAGAAGAAAUGAGAUGAAGAACAUCGAUCAAAGGGGAACAGAGAGAUAGAAUAAGAUAAGCAAAAGCAAUUUCUGGAAAGCAAGAACAUCUAAGGGUAAGGACUAAAAGUGAAGUACCGCAGCUUUAAGUUGUUUAAUGCAGUUUGCGUGGUGAUUUUCAAUGUCUAAUAGAUGUGUAUUUAUAGAAGAAAGACAUGGGCUGCAGUGAUUGAAAAAUGGGCAUGCUCUAGAAUGAAAAAACGCUGGUUCCCCAAAAAAAACAUUAUAAUAGAAGAGAAGAGACCUUUCAGAUAAUAAAUAAAGUAUUUUAGGAUAAUA